rnacentral:rRNA from 1 species
CCUACGGGUGGCAGCAGUGAGGAAUAUUGGUCAAUGGACGAGAGUCUGAACCAGCCAAGUAGCAUGAAGGAUGACUGCCCUAUGGGUUGUAAACUUCUUUUAUAUGGGAAUAAAAUGUUCCACGUGUGGGAUUUUGUAUGUACCAUAUGAAUAAGGAUCGGCUAACUCCGUGCCAGCAGCCGCGGUAAUACGGAGGAUCCGAGCGUUAUCCGGAUUUAUUGGGUUUAAAGGGAGAGUAGGUGGAUUGUUAAGUCAGUUGUGAAAGUUUGGGGCUCAACCGUGACAUUGCAGUUGAAACUGGCAGUCUUGAGUACAGGAGAGGUGGGCGGAAGUCGUGGUGUAGCGGUGAAAUGCUUAGAUAUCACGAAGAACUCCGAUUGCGAAGGCAGUUCACUGGACUGCAACUGACGCUGAGGCUCGAAAGUGUGGGUAUCAAACAGGAUUAGAUACCCUUGUAGUC